rnacentral:rRNA from 1 species
AUGGUCGGAUACUGCAAACAAGGUAAGCAUCGGAUGUUGGUUUUCGAGUUCAUGCCCGGAGGGUCUCUCCGUGGCUUUCUCUUCAACCCCGAGAGGCGACCAGCAUGGCGCUGGCGCGCCGAGGCCGCCCUCGCCAUUGCUCGGGGAGUUGAGUACCUCCAUGACGGCUGCAUUGCCCCUAUCAUCCACUGUGAUAUCAAGCCUGACAAUAUCCUGUUGGACGAUUGUGGAAUCCCCAAGAUCACCGACUUUGGGAUCUCCAAAUUACUGGGGAGCCAGCAGGUGCACACCACGGUGACCCAUGUCAGAGGUACCAGAGGGUACAUCGCGCCUGAGUGGCUCCGCGGCGACGCACGCGUUGACACCAAGGUAGAUGUGUACAGUUUCGGUGUCGUCCUACUGGAGAUGAUUUGCUGCCGGAGGUGUCAGGAGCCAGUGACUCCUGUCGUGCCACAAGGGCAGGGCAUGGAGGAUGAUGAAACGGUCACGUUGUUCGGUUGGGCGGCACAACUGGUUGUCGCACGGAGGACGGAUCUAAUGCUACAUGGUGAUGCAGAUGUCAACACCGCCGAGGACAUGGAGAGGGUGGAGCGGUUCACCCGUGUGGCGCUCUGGUGCAUUGAGCCAAAUCCGCUGCUACGGCCGACCAUCCACCAGGUAGUGCAGAUACUGGAGACCAAUGAUCGGGUGCAGGUUCAGGCACUACCCGACCCUCCAGACUUUUACAUGGAAUCCUCGCCUUCAAUUUCUCAGCUCAGCAUGGAAUGA